UUAUUUUGUUGAAGUAACAAACAACCUAGACUGAAACUGUCUCAAAUUGCUGAACUAACUAGAAUAGAAUAAUUUGUGAGACAUGAGAAAUUCUUUUCUGUUUUUCAUGUUUUCUUAUGUUUCUCUAUCCUAGGUCUAGGACGGGAAGUGGAGAAAUGCCUUCAUUGGUCAAAGUUGGAUUUAAGUAUUUUAAGAAAGUAAACUACUUACUUAAUAGAGAAGAUUGUGGCUGGUUCUUGAAAUUAAUUCAGCUUUCAGCGCUCAUUGAGGCAAGAGUUUAAUAAGCUAUGUUUGACAGAGGUCACAGACAAAAUACAGUUGAAUUCAAGGCUUAUGAAAAUAAGAUACUGGACAGAAAAACAGACAUAAUCAAUACUGCAAAUGUGAAGAAUAACAGCAGUAUGAGGCAUGAGGAGGCUAUGCAGGAGAAAGCACUUCUCAAAGGUCUCAAACUUUGUAAGCUCUUCCUGUAGGUUUACCCACCAUGUGUGGCACUCAUGGGACAUAAAGCCAAUGGAAACAGACUUCAUUAACUAAAGUGUUUGACAACUACUACUUUGCCUGUAGACUUCCAGUGGGAAUCGGGUCAAUUGCACAUUGACAAGCUAAUUACUCUUUGACGUUUGGCUGUUUCAUCUGCAUGAUUUCAGUUCAGUUCCCCAUGGGAAGUGUUUGUAUCAUGAGAAAUCCAGCACUGUAGCAGAGCCCAUUGUAAACCAGAGGCUUCACCAUGAAGUACUUCCUUUUUGAAAAA